AUCUGACAGCCUCCAGCUGCCUCAACUUUGAGGUCUUUCGCAGCAUUCACUCAAAGGCCACAUAGUCCUGGUCAAAGACUAAACAUGGCAAAGUUUCUAGAGCUGGUCCAUUCUUGCUCAUCAUAGGAUUCCUCUAAUGGGAAAUCUUUCCCCAAGGGUUCCGCAUUAGCCUAACCAAGACUUUCUCUGAGACUCUUAGUUAUUAUGAUGCUACUUCCACCAGCACCAGGGUUCUUGUUGCUAUCUGGCUGUUGAGUGAUUCAGUCCCACUGAGCAAUGUCAACCUGAUUGUCUUUCUUUGUUUUUAAGAAACAGGGUCUUGCUCUGCUGCCCAGGCUGGAGCACAGUAGUGUGAUCAUAGCUCACUACAGCCUUCAACUCCUGGGCCUUAGCAAUCCUCCUGCCUCAGCCUCCCAAGGAGCUAUGGCUGCAGGUAUCCGCCACCACUCAUUGACAGCCACUUCCAGUACUCACUGUCUUGGACACAGACUUGAGUAAAAGUACAGAAACAGGGCCGGUAGGACCAGAGGCUCCCCCUCCUGGGUCAGAUUAUGCAGUAAGGAGCUUCACAGAAUACGACUGGAAAUCCACAUA
rnacentral:lncRNA from 1 species